AGGACGAACGCUGGCGGCGUGCUUAACACAUGCAAGUCGAACGGAAAGGCCCGCUUGCGGGUACUCGAGUGGCGAACGGGUGAGUAACACGUGGGCAACCUGCCCUCAGCUCUGGGAUAACUCCGGGAAACCGGUGCUAAUACUGGAUAUCGACUUCUGCUCGCAUGGGUGGUUGUUGAAAGUUUUUCGGCUGGGGAUGGGCCCGCGGCCUAUCAGCUUGUUGGUGGGGUAAUGGCCUACCAAGGCGACGACGGGUAGCCGGCCUGAGAGGGCGACCGGCCACACUGGGACUGAGACACGGCCCAGACUCCUACGGGAGGCAGCAGUGGGGAAUAUUGCGCAAUGGGCGGAAGCCUGACGCAGCGACGCCGCGUGAGGGAUGACGGCCUUCGGGUUGUAAACCUCUUUCAGCUCUGACGAAGCGAGAGUGACGGUAGGAGCAGAAGAAGCACCGGCCAACUACGCGCCAGCAGCCGCGGUAA
rnacentral:rRNA from 1 species